rnacentral:rRNA from 1 species
GCUAAUUCUGGUCCAGGCAGCCGCGGUAAUACGGGGGAUGCAAGCGUUAUCCGGAAUCAUUGGGCGUAAAGCGCCUGUAGGUUGUUUAAUAAGUCUGUUGUUAAAGACUAGGGCUUAACCCUAGAAAAGCAAUGGAAACUACUAGACUAGAGUAUGGCAGGGGUAGAGGGAAUUUCUAGUGUAGCGGUGAAAUGCGUAGAUAUUAGAAAGAACACCGGUGGCGAAAGCGCUCUACUGGACCAUUACUGACACUCAGAGGCGAAAGCUAGGGUAGCAAAAGGGAUUAGAUACCCCUGUAGUCCUAGCCGUAAACGAUGGAUACUAGAUGUUGUGCAUAAUGUACAGUAUCGUAGCUAACGCGUUAAGUAUCCCGCCUGGGGAGUACGCUCGCAAGGGUGAAACUCAAAGGAAUUGACGGGGGCCCGCACAAGCGGUGGAGCACGUGGUUUAAUUCGAUGCAACGCGAAGAACCUUACCAGGGCUUGACAUACUACAGAUUCUUUUGAGAAAAAGAAGUGCCUUCGGGAAUGUAGAUACAGGUGGUGCAUGGCUGUCGUCAGCUCGUGUCGUGAGAUGUUGGGUUAAGUCCCGCAACGAGCGCAACCCUUAUUUUUAGUUACUAAUUCGUUAGGUUCUCUAGAAAGACUGCCGGUGACAAACCGGAGGAAGGUGAGGAUGACGUCAAGUCAGCAUGCCCCUUAUGUCCUGGGCUACACACGUGCUACAAUGGUUAAGACAAAGAGUCGCGAGCUCGCGAGAGUCAGCUAAUCUCAUAAACUUAGCCUAAGUUCAGAUUGUAGGCUGCAACUCGCCUACGUGAAG